GACGAACGCUGGCGGCGUGCUUAACACAUGCAAGUCGAGCGAUGAAGCUUCUUCGGAAGUGGAUUAGCGGCGGACGGGUGAGUAACACGUGGGUAACCUGCCUCAUAGAGGGGAAUAGCCUUCCGAAAGGAAGAUUAAUACCGCAUAAGAUUGUAAUAUCGCAUGAUAUAGCAAUUAAAGGAGUAAUCCGCUAUGAGAUGGACCCGCGUCGCAUUAGCUAGUUGGUGAGGUAACGGCUCACCAAGGCGACGAUGCGUAGCCGACCUGAGAGGGUGAUCGGCCACAUUGGGACUGAGACACGGCCCAGACUCCUACGGGAGGCAGCAGUGGGGAAUAUUGCACAAUGGGGGAAACCCUGAUGCAGCAACGCCGCGUGAGUGAUGACGGUCUUCGGAUUGAAAAGCUCUGUCUUCAGGGACGAUAAUGACGGUACCUGAGGAGGAAGCCACGGCUAACUACGUGCCAGCAGCCGCCGUAA
rnacentral:rRNA from 1 species